UCUCUCAUGGUGUAAUGGUUAGCACUUGGGUCUCUGAAUCCCACAAUCUGAGUUCGAUUCUCAGUGAGAGAG
rnacentral:tRNA from 1 species